UGUAGUCGCCUGCGGCCAGUCGGAUUAACACUGGGGUGCAUUGGGUGAGAGUGGAUCUUGAUCACUGAAGACAAAGUCCGCCAGGACUUCCUCAGUCUCUGACUGAAGACUUUGGGUGGUGGGCGGAGGCGGAGGUGUAGACACGCUCCAGGCUAUGAUUUGCCCCUUACUCUUCUAAAACUGCUUGAAAGAAUGUCUCUAGCUCACACCGCAGGCCAUCUUUUGCUGAUACUGCAGCUGAUAGAACCCAGGAAGACUCUGGGCAAUGCCCACUCUCUGUGCCUCGACCUCACUGUCAAAUCUCAGUCCAGACCUGGCCAGCCCUGGUGUCAAGUCCAGGGCUCCGUGGACACAAAGCCUUUCCUCCAGUAUGACAGUGACAGCAACAAGGUCAGACCUUUGGGUUUCCUGGGGGAGGAGGUAAACGACACCAAAGCGUGGACUGAACUGAGCCAAAUGCUGGGAGAAGCAGGAAGAGAGCUCAGGAUGGUCCUGCCUGUCAUCAAACUGGACAAAAAGGAGAUGAGGGGUCAGGCUGUGUUGUCAGCGUGAAGCCGAGCAAUGCUCUGGUGGGUCCUUGCUCUUCAGCCUCAAUGGACAGACAGCCCUCCUCCUUGACACCAUGAGCAUAACCUGGACAGUCCUCGAUCCUGGAGCCACAGGCCUCA